rnacentral:rRNA from 1 species
UACGUAGGCAGCGAGCGUUGUUCGGAGUUACUGGGCGUAAAGGGUGCGUAGGCGGUUGUUUAAGUUUGGUGUGAAAUCUCCCGGCUCAACUGGGAGGGUGCGCCGAAUACUGAAUGACUAGAGUGCGGGAGAGGAUAGUGGAAUUCCUGGUGUAGCGGUGAAAUGCGUAGAUAUCAGGAGGAACACCCGGUGGUGUAGACGGCUAUCUGGAC